CUCGACGGCUGCUUUUACAGGAUGUGAACUUCCACUUGUAUUUUGUUUAGAAUGAAGAUAAAUAGCCUACUGGGAACGCAUCAUUAGUCUGUUUGCAGGGAAGGAGGUUGAAACAGGAAAAGGUCUAUAAUUAUCUCGAGUAUUUUUCCCCGAAGAAGGCAGACGCACCGCGAGCGGGUUUUUUGUCUGUGGGUGUAGUUUUUCAGUGAAAAUGUCCGGAUACGCAGAAUUCGAGGUGAAGAAAUAAUUCAUGGGAUAGUUUUUUGUUGUUUUACUAACAAACAUUUGAAAAAUAAGUUCCUUAUACAGACCUAUGCUUUUUACGUUUGGAAACGUAAGCAACUUUUCAUUAAUCCGUAUUUAGCUCCUUAUUCACGCAAACACGAUCCUGACCUAGGACCCAGGAGGGUGGAUGGAGGACAUAGAUAUCGAGGAGCAGGCUCCCUUUCCUGUGGACAGAGAUGGGAAGCAGCUGGGGGAAGGAGAGGAGCGGAGGAAGGCUGGAUGUUGUGAGAAGCUGCACCAGUCUAUCUCCAGAUGGAUGCUUCCCUCUGACAUCCGAGAAACGUACCUGGAGCGUGCUAACUGCUGCCCGCCGCCAAUCUUCAUCAUCCUCAUCAGCAUUGGAGAGCUGGCUGUGUUUAUCUACUAUGCGGCGUGGAAGCCCCAGAAGCAGUGGGUGACCCUGGGGGAGGGCAUCUGGAACAGCCCUCUCACCUACAAGCCAGGCCUGCGCCAGGAUGCCUGGAGGUUCCUGUCCUACAUGUUCGUCCACGCCGGGGUACAGCAUAUCCUGGGUAACCUGGUGAUGCAGUUGCUGUUGGGCAUCCCUCUGGAGCUGGUCCACAAGGGCUUUGAGGUGGGCAUGGUCUACAUGGCCGGCGUCCUGGCAGGCUCUCUGGCCAGCUCCAUCUUCGACCCCCUCAGUGCCCUGGUGGGGGCGUCCGGAGGAGUCUAUGCCCUCAUGGGAGGCUACUUCAUGAACGCUGUAGUGAACUUCAGAGAGAUGAUUCCCCUGCUGGGGGUGUUCAGGAUACUGGUCAUCGUGAUGAUUGUGGGGACGGACGUUGGCUUCGCCCUCUACAGGAGGUUUCUCACUGACAGCGCUGGCAUGAAGGUCUCCUUCGUGGCCCACAUUGGUGGCGGAGUGGCGGGGAUGACCAUUGGCUACGUCUUCUUCUCCUGCUACGACAAGAAGCUGCUCAAGGACCCGCGCUUCUGGCUGUGCAUCGUGGGAUAUGUAGUCUUCAUCCUGUUCGCUGUGCUGUUCAACAUCUUCCUGUCUCCGGCUCCCUGAGGCCUCCUUCACUCUCACUGCAGGUGGGCGGGACCACCAUGUCUGUGCCGCAUGCUGAUAGGCUACUGUGCAGGGGCUGUAAAACAUCUGUGCUCUGAUUGGUUGUAUGCACUCCAAAGUUGAGCUUUUCUCAAAACAAUAUGGCGGUGGCCAUUUUAAACAUUUAUGUUGAGUCAAACGCACUUGUUCUUAGGAGUUGUAUUGAAACACAGCAGUCAGUAAACAUGCUGCACAGUCCAUAAACAUGCUGUGUAAAGUCCAUAAACAUGCUGUGUAAAGUCCAUAAACAUUUCCUGUAGUGAGAACGUCGAGGUAGAACCACACUCCUGCACAGCGACCAGGUGUGUCUAACCUCAGGGACGAAAUCAAACUACAGGGGUUUUAAUGAUUAUAUUUAGUUUAGGCUCUGGUCAGACUCUGGUCACUCUUCACACCCCCUCUGCUGUUCCUAAGUACAAUUACACAUAUCAGAAUGCUUUCUAAACGAAAUAUGUUAGUUUGUCUUUUACAUUUUAUUCAUAGUAUGUGUAAACUAAGAUGUUUUUCAUAUUUGUAAGGAUACAAUAUUUUGUUUGUGAAUUGUUAUACCUGUUUUUGUGUUUUUUAAGAUGGAAUGUUUUGAACUCCAAAUUAUGUUUUCACCGUUAAAGGGUUUUGUGAUUUUUUUUAUAUGGAAAAGAUGUGUGUGUGUGACAAAGUAUGC